rnacentral:rRNA from 1 species
AUUGAACGCUGGCGGCAGGCCUAACACAUGCAAGUCGAGCGGAUGAAGGGAGCUUGCUCCUGGAUUCAGCGGCGGACGGGUGAGUAAUGCCUAGGAAUCUGCCUGGUAGUGGGGGAUAACGUCCGGAAACGGGCGCUAAUACCGCAUACGUCCUGAGGGAGAAAGUGGGGGAUCUUCGGACCUCACGCUAUCAGAUGAGCCUAGGUCGGAUUAGCUAGUUGGUGGGGUAAAGGCCUACCAAGGCGACGAUCCGUAACUGGUCUGAGAGGAUGAUCAGUCAAACGGGAACUGGGAACGGGGCCAGACCCCCAGGGGGGGAAGGGGUGGGGAAUAUUGGAAAAGGGGGGAAACCCUGAACCAGCCAGGCCGGGGGGGGGAAGAAGGUUUUCGGAUUUUAAAGCACUUUAAGUUGGGAGGAAGGGAAGUAAGUUAAUACCUUGCUGUUUUGACGUUACCAACAAAAAAAGCACCGGCUAACUUCGG